GGCUGCCUACGGGGCGCAGCAGUGAGGAAUAUUGGUCAAUGGGAGGAAUCCUGAACCAGCCAUGCCGCGUGCAGGAUGACGGCUCUAUGAGUUGUAAACUGCUUUUGUACGAGGGUAAACCCCGAUACGUGUAUCGGGUUGAAAGUAUCGUACGAAUAAGGAUCGGCUAACUCCGUGCCAGCAGCCGCGGUAAUACGGAGGAUCCGAGCGUUAUCCGGAUUUAUUGGGUUUAAAGGGUGCGUAGGCGGUUUGAUAAGUUAGAGGUGAAAUGUCGGGGCUCAACCCCGAACAUGCCUCUAAUACUU
rnacentral:rRNA from 1 species